CGGUCCAGACUCCUACGGGAGGCAGCAGUGGGGAAUAUUGCACAAUGGGGGAAACCCUGAUGCAGCCAUGCCGCGUGUGUGAAGAAGGCCUUCGGGUUGUAAAGCACUUUCAGCGAUGAGGAAAGGUUGGCGCCUAAUACGUGUCAACUGUGACGUUACUCGCAGAAGAAGCACCGGCUAACUCCGUGCCAGCAGCCGCGGUAAUACGGAGGGUGCAAGCGUUAAUCGGAAUU
rnacentral:rRNA from 1 species